GACGAACGCUGGCGGCGUGCCUAAUACAUGCAAGUCGAGCGAAGUUUUUCUGGUGCUUGCACUAGAAAAACUUAGCGGCGAACGGGUGAGUAAUACGUAAAGAACCUGCCUCAUAGACUGGGACAACUAUUGGAAACGAUAGCUAAUACCGGAUAACAGUAUUUCUCGCAUGAGGGAUAUUUAAAAGUUGGUUAUGCUAACACUAUGAGAUGGCUUUGCGGUGCAUGAGCUAGUUGGUGGGGUAAAGGCCCACCAAGGCGGCGAUGCAUAGCCGACCUGAGAGGGUGAUGGGGCACACUGGGAGUGAGACACGGCCCAGACUCCUACGGGAGGCAGCAGUAGGGAAGCGUCCGCGAUGGGCGAAAGCCUGACGGAGCAGCGCCGCGUGAGUGAAGAAGGAUUUCGGUUCGUAUAGCUCUGUUGUUAGUGAAGAAUGGAUAUGUAGUAACUAUACAUGUAAGAGACGGUACCUAACCAGAAAGCCACGGCUAACUACGUG
rnacentral:rRNA from 1 species